AAUGUGAGAGACUUAGAAAAAGAAAUGCU
rnacentral:piRNA from 1 species